rnacentral:lncRNA from 1 species
UAAAUAAUUUUGUUAUUAAAUAACUAUGAUAGUAAGAUUUUAGUAAAACAAAUAAAAAUCAUGCUUGAAUCAAAUAAAUUUAAAUCAAACCUAUGCUAACACAAAAAAAGAAAUAAAAUGGGCCCUGAAAUGUCUCCUAAGCCCACUAGGGCGUAUGGCACCAGGAAAAUGAAAUCGGCUUUUUUAAGCAAACAAAGCCCAUAUGGGGCGCAUGAUGGUAGUCGCCUGGGGGUGCUGAUAGUGAAAAUGAAA